UGGGGAAUAUUGGACAAUGGGGGGAACCCUGAUCCAGCCAUGCCGCGUGUGUGAAGAAGGCCUUAUGGUUGUAAAGCACUUUAAGCGAGGAGGAGGGUACUGGUAUUAAUACUACCAGGUACUGGACGUUACUCGCAGAAUAAGCACCGGCUAACUCUGUGCCAGCAGCCGCGGUAAUACAGAGGGUGCGAGCGUUAAUCGGAUUUACUGGGCGUAAAGCGUGCGUAAGCGGCUAAUUGAGUCGGAUGUGAAAUCCCCGAGCUUAACUUGGGAAUUGCAUUCGAUACUGGUUAGCUAGAGUGUGGGAGAGGAUUGUAGAAUUCCAGGUGUAGCGGUGAAAUGCGUAGAGAUCUGGAGGAAUACCGAUGGCGAAGGCAGCCAUCUGGCCUAACACUGACGCUGAGGUACGAAAGCAUGGGGAGCAAACAGG
rnacentral:rRNA from 1 species